rnacentral:rRNA from 1 species
UGCAAGUCGAGCGGUAGAGAGAAGCUUGCUUCUCUUGAGAGCGGCGGACGGGUGAGUAAUGCCUAGGAAUCUGCCUGGUAGUGGGGGAUAACGUUCGGAAACGGACGCUAAUACCGCAUACGUCCUACGGGAGAAAGCAGGGGACCUUCGGGCCUUGCGCUAUCAGAUGAGCCUAGGUCGGAUUAGCUAGUUGGUGGGGUAAUGGCUCACCAAGGCGACGAUCCGUAACUGGUCUGAGAGGAUGAUCAGUCACACUGGAACUGAGACACGGUCCAGACUCCUACGGGAGGCAGCAGUGGGGAAUAUUGGACAAUGGGCGAAAGCCUGAUCCAGCCAUGCCGCGUGUGUGAAGAAGGUCUUCGGAUUGUAAAGCACUUUAAGUUGGGAGGAAGGGUUGUAGAUUAAUACUCUGCAAUUUUGACGUUACCGACAGAAUAAGCACCGGCUAACUCUGUGCCAGCAGCCGCGGUAAUACAGAGGGUGCAAGCGUUAAUCGGAAUUACUGGGCGUAAAGCGCGCGUAGGUGGUUUGUUAAGUUGGAUGUGAAAUCCCCGGGCUCAACCUGGGAACUGCAUUCAAAACUGACUGACUAGAGUAUGGUAGAGGGUGGUGGAAUUUCCUGUGUAGCGGUGAAAUGCGUAGAUAUAGGAAGGAACACCAGUGGCGAAGGCGACCACCUGGACUAAUACUGACACUGAGGUGCGAA